rnacentral:rRNA from 1 species
AACGCGAAGAACCUUACCUGGGUUCAAUCAUCCUGUCAACCGGGUAACGCCGGGGCCCGCAAGGAAAGGGAUGAAGGUGCUGCAUGGCUGUCGUCAGCUCGUGCCGUGAGGUGUUGGGUUAAGUCCCCUAACGAGCGCAACCCUCAGGGGAGGUUAUCACUCCGCCCCGACUGCCGCGCACAACGCGGAGGAAGGUGAGGAUGACGUCAAGUCAGCACGGCCCUUACGCCCAGGGCUACACACACGCUACAAUGGUCAGGACAAAGGGCAGCAACACGGCGACGUGAAGCGAAUCCCGCAAACCUGGCCCCAGUUCGGAUUGCAGGCUGCAACCCGCCUGCAUGAAGUCGGAGUUGCUAGUAACCGCCGGUCAGCACACGGCGGUGAAUACGUUCCCGGGCCUUGUACACACCGCUCGUC